GUUUCUUUGUUGCUGGAGGUCUCAGUAAAGAAGGUAAAGCAAAUAUGAAGCCUCCUGUCCUGCCAUAAAAUUGCCCUCAAUAUACCUAUGCCUAUACGAAGUCAUACCCAAAGUUGGAAAAAAAAAAAAAAAAUUUCCAAUGCUCUAUUUACUCUUCUUCGUACCCUUUCCAAUGGUUUAAAAAACUUUUAACCAGCAAUGCCUUGGAAUAAUCUCCGACCAGGUGAACCGAAC